rnacentral:rRNA from 1 species
CAUGGUCUUAGCUUGCUAAGGCCGAUGGCGACCGGCGCACGGGUGAGUAACACGUAUCCAACCUGCCGUCUACUCUUGGACAGCCUUCUGAAAGGAAGAUUAAUACAAGAUGGCAUCAUGAGUCCGCAUGUUCACAUGAUUAAAGGUAUUCCGGUAGACGAUGGGGAUGCGUUCCAUUAGAUAGUAGGCGGGGUAACGGCCCACCAAGGCAACGAUGGGUAGGGGUUCUGAGAGGAAGGUCCCCACAUUGGAACUGAGACACGGUCCAAACUCC